rnacentral:rRNA from 1 species
CACGUAGGGUGCGAGCGUUGUCCGGAAUUAUUGGGCGUAAAGAGCUCGUAGGCGGUGUGUCGCGUCGGCCGUGAAAACCUGCAGCUUAACUGUGGGCUUGCGGUCGAUACGGGCAUCACUGGAGUUCGGCAGGGGAGACUGGAAUUCCUGGUGUAGCGGUGAAAUGCGCAGAUAUCAGGAGGAACACCGGUGGCGAAGGCGGGUCU